rnacentral:lncRNA from 1 species
GCAAGCAGGGACUGUGCCCCUGACCCCGGCCAGCUGCUUCCCCUGGAUUUGAAACAGCUGGUCCAGGCCCCAAGGGAACCUGAGCCCAAGGAGUGUGGAUGAGUCCAGGUGGCCCAUCCCUGUGCCAGGGAGCACAACCCCAAAACUCACAGGGUUCUUCUCCUCCCUCCCCCCCGGAAGGCACUCUAGAAGGACAAGAACCCUCCAGAAGUAGAUGGAUGUGGCUCCAUCCUAGGGCAGAGCUGGAGAAUGACUGCAGCCUCACUGAGGACAAUGUCUCCUGGGGCCUGUGGGCACACUGAGGCCCCAAGAGGAUAAGGAGUUUGCCCUGGGCUCCUUCCUCUGCACCUGCUGCCUCCCCAAGAAGAAGCCGUGAAUUCAUCUCCACCCAAGGAGACCAUGCACAUCCUUGGGCCCAAGUGUGCUGCCCUCUGCCUAUUGCAGGAUGAGACAAGAAAGGACAAUCUCGGAAGAUGCACUUCCUGCCACGGCGCAGGGUCAAGCUUGCCUAGAGAGUUGGUGAUGAGACAAAUCACCAAUGAAGAUCCACAGAUAAACAGCCGUCACAAUCAGGAGGAGCAAUGACGGCAACAGCACGCCGCAUAACCCUCUACCCACAUCUGCCCAGCAUCCUCAGGGAAGCCUUCCUGGCCGCAAGUGGUCUGAGCCAACACCACUAUCACCGCCCACUGCGCCACUGCUAUCACCAACUUCCUGAUGAGGAAUGUCCACGAGCACAGACUCGCUGCUCUCCAUUCGUGACAGCUCAGAGGCCUUUUUAGAAGGGGGGCUUCAUGUGAGUUUUGGCUGCGUUCUGCAAGGAAGGUUUCUAGGGGCCUCAGGAAGAUACCCCACGCUGUGAGAGGGGUGGACCACAGGCCUAGGAGCCCUCAGCUCUGGCAGAGAAACCUUCACCAGGCCCCCCCGGACACCUGAGCUGUCCUGAUCAGAUCACCGGAGCAGCUGACCAGAUCUUGGAGGCUCGUCCUUCCUCCCGCCCGAACCCUUCCCGGGCGGCAGCCUGCUGAGGUCUGCUGAAGGCUGCGUGCACCUGCCCUUUGACCCAGCAGUACCACCUCUACAAUUCACCCAACAGGGACCAGCCCACGGGCUCAAAGGUGGAUGCACAAGGAUAUUUUCAUCGCAGGAUUGUUUGUGGCAGCAAAAGGCUAGAAAAAAUGUCACUGUCCAUCAGUAGGGACUGGGUCACGAAGUGCAGAGCAUCUGCUCCAAGGGAUGGUACGUAGCAGUAAAAUCCAGGCUAAGGAAUGAUCUGCAAAGCAUACUUCACAACAGAAUGGUGUGCGGGAUAUGCUUCCAUUGUGUAAAGG